GACGAACGCUGGCGGCGUGCUUAACACAUGCAAGUCGAACGGAAAGGCCCUGCUUUUGUGGGGUGCUCGAGUGGCGAACGGGUGAGUAACACGUGAGUAACCUGCCCUUGACUUUGGGAUAACUUCAGGAAACUGGGGCUAAUACCGGAUAGGAGCUCCUGCUGCAUGGUGGGGGUUGGAAAGUUUCGGCGGUUGGGGAUGGACUCGCGGCUUAUCAGCUUGUUGGUGGGGUAGUGGCUUACCAAGGCUUUGACGGGUAGCCGGCCUGAGAGGGUGACCGGCCACAUUGGGACUGAGAUGCGGCCCAGACUCCUACGGGAGGCAGCAGGGGGGAAUAUUGCACAAUGGGCGGAAGCCUGGUGCAGCAACGCCGCGUGCGGGAUAGCGGCCUUCGGGUUGUAAACCGCUUUCGCCUGUGACGAAGCGUGAGUGACGGUAAUGGGUAAAGAAGCACCGGCUAACUACGUG
rnacentral:rRNA from 1 species